UGGUAUCUUACCCAAAUUCUU
rnacentral:snRNA from 1 species